UACGAAGGGGACUAGCGUUGUUCGGAGUUACUGGGCGUAAAGCGCGCGUAGGCGGAUCGCUAAGUCAGGGGUGAAAUCCCAGGGCUCAACCCUGGAACUGCCUUUGAUACUGACGAUCUGGAGAUCGGGAGAGGUGAGUGGAAUUCCGAGUGUAGAGGUGAAAUUCGUAGAUAUUCGGAGGAACACCAGAAGCGAAGGCGGCUCACUGGCCCGAUACUGACGCUGAGGCGCGAAAGCGUGGGGAGCAAACAGG
rnacentral:rRNA from 1 species